GGCAUCAGAGCAGGUCAUUUUGUUAGCAGAUGGAAGGCAAGCGACUCAGCCAUUGAACCCCCACCCCCGCUUUGAGUACCCAGACGCCUGGACCUAGGACAUCAUCCUCAGUAAAGGAAAUUGAGGCUUUGUGGAGUUAAGUGACUUGCCCGCAAAAGCUAGAUCUGUUUACUGGUAUGGCGACCCCUGGAUGGGAAUCUACCUGUGGUCCACCAUCAGCAGUGCCCAUGCCCCAGAACCUCUUAUGGAAGAGAAGGAACUGAAGUCCAGAGGAAGUUGUUCACAUAUUUGGAAGCCUUAGGCUAGAGAUAAAAAUGACCACAGAUGGCAUUGUUUGCAAUGAAGAGAAAUGUAGAUAAGAGGAAAGAUGCAGUGACUUACUUGGAUUUUCUAUAUAAAUCAUCACAGCACCUGAAAGCACAGGUCUAUACUAGGCAGACUGAAAUAAUUUUUCCUUAGAAAAGCAUCUUGGCUCCAGUGAGAGAAACAACAAGAAAUGGACGCAGCUAGAGUCUUAAAAAGCUGAUUAUUAUUUGGGAGAUGAUGAACAGAGACUAGC
ensembl:lncRNA